rnacentral:rRNA from 1 species
UACGUAGGGGGCGAGCGUUGUCCGGAUUUAUUGGGCGUAAAGAGCUCGUAGGCGGUUUGGUAAGUUGGAUGUGAAAUCUCCAGGCUCAACUUGGAGGGGUCAUUCGAUACUGCCAUGACUAGAGUUCGGUAGGGGAGUGUGGAAUUCCUGGUGGAGCGGUGAAAUGCGCAGAUAUCAGGAGGAACACCAAUUGCGAAGGCAGCUCGCUGGGACGUGACUGACGCUGAGACGCGAAAGCGUGGGGAGCAAACAGG